CAUGGAGCGCGUUAUAGUGCUAUUGCAUCAAGUGCACGUUUCAACGCUGACAACGACAAGUGGUGUUGCAUCAGCCGUGCCGGCUAGAUGUGCGUAGUUAAGCCUAGAUAUUUUUGGACAAUUUUCGGUGUUUUUACACCGUCAACCUCACCUUAUUUAUUAGUUUUAACGAAUAUACAACUCCGUGGCUUGGUGUCAGAAUCAAGUGUACAACAAGGACCUAAUCCGCCUUAACAUGUUUUAUUUAUGAUGUUUGAACACACCUUAUCAACCCUUUGGGGGCCAGCGCCAUAUUAGCAAAGAAGAAGAAGAAGUGCUAUUGCAUCAUUCCAUUUUUGUUUUUCGACCGUGAUGCUACUUUGUUUGCAACUUGCAGAUUGCAAUUUGCAAAUUUGUUGUUUUAUUUUAUCGUUCUGGAGUUUGAAUACUACGCAGUUGGCAGUGCAAGACGCGGCUAAAAAAAGAAACGAAUAUAUAUUGGCAAUAAUUGCUGGGACAGUUGGAUUACUCAGAUCUGGACAGCAGCAAAGGGAAUGAUGUAAUAGCGCAGUCGGCCGUAGUAUCACUUUGUUUGCAACAAAUGA